UCAGACAACACCCACCAACAUAAACUUUGUGCUAUUUCCUGAAACCUCUCCUGUCAAUUUCAUCUAUUCAUUAGAGGAGCAAAAAUGUGGUUGAACCUUGUGUCCUUACUAGUAGUCCUCAAAGGAGUCCAGUCUCAAGUCCAGUUGGUGGAGUCUGGAGGGGAUGUGAGAAGACCUGGAGAGUCCCUCCGUCUCUCCUGCCAAGCCUCUGGAUUCACCUUCAGCAGCUAUGGCAUGCACUGGGUGAGACAGGCACCAGGGAAAGGACUGGAAUGGCUGGCCUACAUAAACUCUGCUUCCAGUGAUAUCAACUACUCAGACAAAAUCAAGGGCCGCUUCACCAUCUCCAGGGACAAUGCCAAAAGCCAGCUGUAUCUGCAAAUGAACAGCCUCAAAGCUGAAGACACGGCAGUCUAUUACUGUGCAAGAAGCACAGUGAGAGGAAGUGAAUCUGAAGCCAGGCAAGAACCUUCUUUUCUUAAGAGCAACUCUUUAACUUGA